GAUCAGUGAUGAAAAUAGCCAAGUCUGAGCAUCAGAUUCCAGCCUACCUGACACAGUUCUGAGA